UAGCUACAUUCUACAGACCAAGAGUAAAUGGAAAACCAGUAGCACUCAACCAACUUCCACCAGCAAUAAAAUUCCCUGGUGUGAAAGCCUGAGCUUCUGUGGCGCUUGUGAUCACCUUGUACCCCUUCCACGUCACCCUGUUUGAAGUCGAAGCUCCAGCUCCAGUGUUAGCAUACUCAGCAUAGAACAAUGUGUCUAGGGCAAAAGUCCCACUCCACUCGUACCACCCAGCAGGGUCGAUGAUAUCAGUAAUGGAAGAUUGCAUAAUCACAGUCCUAGAGUACUCCUUCCACGGCCUUCCCAGGUAUGUCUUAAAGCUACCCUUCACGGCUUGAAGGUCAGAAGUGGCACCAAUCCUUGAUUUUUGGAUCACAAUGCCGGUGUUCUGGUUGGGG
rnacentral:lncRNA from 1 species